UUUCCCUGUUGCCCUGUGCCAGCACUGGGGUAGUGCCCCUGGGCUCUACCCCCAAAACCUUCCCAGGGCUCUGUCCCGGCAGUUCAGAGGGGCCAGGAUGGUGGACAUAAUCGCCAAAGUGACCAGGAGGCAGAGUCGAGCCUUGCCGGCACAGGUAGGGGAUGCUGGGGUCAAGGGGUGCCCGGUGGGCCUCUACCACAAGCCCUGUUAGGAGCUGGGUGAGCUGGGGCUUAGAGCAGGGAGCCUCUUGGAAGUUGGGGCUCAUACUUCCUUUUCUCUUUCCUUCUCGGAGGCCCUGCCCAUCCAAGAGGUGGUCAGCUUGGGGCAAGAGUGGCAGGGCUGCCACCUGCUUGUGGACAGGGGAGGGAACUGGAGAUAAGGGGUGAACCACUGUAAGGCAGUACCAGGGGGCUGGGCAGCCUGGAGCCUGAGAGCCAGGUCCCUCUUGGCUCCUCCUCUGGCCUGAGGUCGGAAGGCCACUUCUUGUCUCUAGGAUGCGACCCAAGAGCCAUUGAUCCCGUAGUCAGGCCCCUGCUUAUGAGCUGCAUCUGGGUCUUGUCUGGGCCUCCAUGAACAGGAGCAAGGAGGAGGGUAGGGGUGGCAGGCGCCUGUAACUCCUUGAAGGCCAGAGGAUGUGGAGGGCGUGACUGCACCUGGCCCCAGGAGCUGGUUAGAACCCAGCUGAGGCUCUGCCAGGAGAGGAGAGCAUCUCUAUCUCAGCACUGUGCAGGGUCUGCCGAGAGUUCCAGAGUUUGAAGGGGCCUGAAGGACACUGCAGUUCAACACCCACCACAGGGCUAUGGCUUCCCUAACAGGGAGUAGACUCUGCUCAGUCACCUCCAGUGAGGGCCCCUCACUACCUCCAGAAGCAGCCUGUGUCUCUGGCAGCCCUAGUCCUCAGAAUGCUUCCUUCAGAGGAAUGCUGCUGUGCCCCUGCAGCAUGAUACCCCAUCUUCUCUUCCUUGUGACAGCCCUGUCAUGCUGGGGACCUAAACUUCUACCUCCGAAAUCUCCUCUGUACCUGCUGGGGACAUUCCUUCGUGUGAGGACCCCAUCAGCCUCACUGGCCUGGGACUCCUCGUGGACCCAGAGCCAUGGCCCACAGCCUGCCAAGUAGAAAUUCCUGCUCCAAAGAGCCUGUUCCUUAUCAGCUCAUCCACCCCUGGUGGAGCCUUUCAACUCCUGCCCCAGUGCGUUCAGCUGGGAGGAUGGGAGGUGUGUCUGGUUCCUCUGCCUUCCUCUCCCCGCUGCUUCCAUCCUGCCCUCCCCAGGAAUCUCCUGGUUUCUGUGGCUCCGACCCUCCUCCUCAGAAAGCUCAAGCUCAUUCCAGGCUCUUCUGUCAUGUCAGGCAUGUUUGUUGCUGAAACUGGGCAUGGGUUAGACUUGUGUACACAAGCAGUUUGUGGCAGACCUGCUAUGUGCUUCAGGGCAUUGGCCCAGCUGCUGGGGGGCAAAUGGAAUCAGCUACAUUAUCCUUAGUCUUGCUCUCAAGAAAAUCCUGCCUUUUGGGGCAGAGGAGGUGGGCAGAUGGUUGGACAACUGGCUGCCCACCAAGGCAGAACGCCAUUGGGCCUCAACAGAGCAGUGAGCAGAGUGCCAGCAGGUUUGACCUCUCCCUGGAGAGGCUUGUCAGCUGAGCACCGUGAGAGAGCAGGAUUUGGGUAGGCAGAGAACCAGAGAAGGGAAUUCCAGGCUGAGGGAAUGGCUGGAGCAAACGCUUCGAGGUGGGAGGAUGCCUUUUCUGUUGGGGGCCGGUGAGAGGCCUGUUGUGGUUGGACUACAGGAUGCCACAUCAGAGCUAUGGUGGGGGUAGAGAAAGGACAAGUGGGGUGGAGGGUCCCCUCUCAGCCACACAGCAGCCUGGAGGAAGGGGAGAGGAGAGAAGAACUGAUGGGCUGGGAUCCCCAGCUCUCCCUGUCCCCCAGGCGCCUGGGGACUGGCACCCUGUCUAAAACUGUAACAUCCUCUUCAUUGACAGUGUUUUCAUUUCUUGCUUAGCAGUGAUCAGCACUGACAUGCUGUCCAUUUACUCAUCACCCCCACCAUUUACACACAGGUGCACUUGAGUGCCAGCUCUGCCAGGGAAGGAUUUGUGUCCCUUUCUUCCCUGCUGUAUUCCCCGUGCCUCAAACAGUGCCUGGCACAGAGCAGGUGAAUCUUUGUUGGGUAAACAAAUGUUCUUCUUUUCCUUCUUCUUUUCAUUGUUUUGGUUUGGUUUGCUUUUUUGGCAUCAGUUUGGUGAAAAAUGAAUUUUUUUUUUUUUUUGGCAUCUGCCUAAGGCUCAGGGAGAGACCACCCUGAACAGGUGCUUCCUCUUUCGAGGAGUUUACAGCUUAGUGAUGGUGUCACAGUCAGCAGAGGAACUUCUGUGAAUUUUUAAAAGUUUUGUAGUACAAAAUUUUGAGGCUGCAGGAAAGUUCAAAGAAAACAAAACAAAAACAAACCCCUAUAAUCACAGUGCUCAGAAGGGACCUCUGUUAGCAUUUUGGAAAGUUUCCGAAAACACAAAAUUGAAAUGUGGAAAUCUGCUUUCCCCUGAAGUAUUGUGUAUGCUUAGAAAAUAGUAGUAAUUGGCCAGGUGCGGUGGCUCACACCUGUAAUCCCAGCACUUUGGGAGGCCCUGGUGGGCGGAUCACCUGAGGUCAGGAGUUCAAGACCAGCCUGGCCAACAGGGCAAAACCCCAUCUCUACUAAAAUACAAAAAUUAGCCAGGCGUGGUGGUGCGUGCCUGCAAUGCCAGCUACUUGGGAGGCUGAGGCAUGAGAAUCGCUUGAACCCAGGAGGCGGAGGUUGCAGUGAGCCGAGAUCACACCAUUCCACUCCAGUCUGGACGACAGAGCGAGACUCCAUCUC
rnacentral:lncRNA from 1 species